rnacentral:RNase_P_RNA from 1 species
UUAAUUGAGAGGAAAGUCCGGGCUCCAUGGAAACACAGUGCCGGAUAACGCCCGGCAGAGGAAACUCUAGGGAUUAGUGCCACAGAAAAUAUACCGCUUAAUAAUUUAAGUAAGGGUGAAAAGGUGAGGUAAGAGCUCACCGCAUUUUUAGGUAACUAAAAUGGCAGGGUAAACCCCACUGGGAGCAAGACCAAGUAGAUACAACAAACUAUUUAAUUAGUAGCGAUGUUUUCAGCGUGUUGUCGGGUAGGUUGCAAGAAAUAUUUGGUAACAAAUAUUCAAGAUGAAUAGUCACUCUAGACAGAACCCGGCUUAUAGGCUGCCUG